rnacentral:rRNA from 1 species
AUACGUAGGGGGCAAGCGUUAUCCGGAUUUACUGGGUGUAAAGGGAGCGUAGACGGUAAAGCAAGUCUGAAGUGAAAGCUCGGGGCUCAACCCCGGAACUGCUUUGGAAACUGUUUUACUGGAGUGCAGGAGAGGUAAGCGGAAUUUCUAGUGUAGCGGUGAAAUGCGUAGAUAUUAGGAGGAACACCAGAGGCGAAGGCGGCUUACUGGACUGUAACUGACGCUGAGGCGCGAAAGCGUGGGGAGCAAACAGGAUUAGAUACCCUGGUAGUCCACGCCCUAAACGAUGAAUACUAGGUGUUGGGUUCCAAUAGGGAUUCGGUGCCGCAGCUAACGCAAUAAGUAUUCCACCUGGGGAGUACGUUCGCAAGAAUGAAACUCAAAUGAAUUGGCGGGG